rnacentral:lncRNA from 1 species
UGUCACGCCCCGGAUUACACUUUCCCCGGGCACGCCGACAAAUCCGCCGUAUACAAAGGAAUUUCCCCUGUAUACGAAGCGAUAGCUGUACCUGUAAAUCAAACACUACUACGAACAGUAGUAGAGAGCUGCUAGAGAAAACAGAAGCUAAACAAACUGAGUUUCAUAUACAUAGUCCAAAUCCAAAAUACAAAGCUACUCGCACUGGCGAGUUAAGUCCACUAUGUACAUAAACUCGAAACAAAACAUCUACCUGCAGUAGGGGCACCUCUAGCUCAGCACGUCGGGUAGGGCUCUAACUCGCGACGCCCUUACCUCGAUCCUGAUCUGCGGAAGGCGCAGCAGCCGAAACCUGUGGCUCUGCAAAACAGGGGUAACAACUGGGCGUGAGAACUACUGUAAAAACAAGUAGUCCUCAGUGGGUACCGCCCAAAACAACAUCGGUCCACCCACUAAGUCUACAGAAGGGAGCAAGAAUAGGAGGAAAAGCAGGAAAUAAACUCAACCGCUACAC